rnacentral:rRNA from 1 species
GUGCCAGCCGCCGCGGUAAUACGAAGGGGGCUAGCGUUGUUCGGAACUACUGGGCGUAAAGCGCACGUAGGCGGAUAUUUAAGUCAGGGGUGAAAUCCCGCAGCUCAACUGCGGAACUGCCUUUGAUACUGGGUAUCUUGAGUAUGGAAGAGGUAAGUGGAAUUGCGAGUGUAGAGGUGAAAUUCGUAGAUAUUCGCAGGAACACCAGUGGCGAAGGCGGCUUACUGGUCCAUUACUGACGCUGAGGUGCGAAAGCGUGGGGAGCAAACAGGAUUAGAAACCCCAGUAGUCC